CCCUGCGAGAGGCGGCCGUCAGGUUCAUCGGGCUCGCCGGGCGCUACCUGAGAGGGAAGCAGCAAGAGUUCCGGAUCAUCUGCAGGGCCCUUCAGGACAUGAUGGAUGACAUCAGCCCUGCCAUCUCAUGCCUGGCACUUCAAACUCUGUACAUCAAUUUAGCUGUACAGAGCAUUCCCUCCUCCCGCCCCCGGGAUAUGCACGAUCAACUCCGCCGGCUCUGGAGGUCAUGGCCUUUCCUGCGUCGCUGUGGCUGGCUGUCCUGCUGCAGCGCUGUGGAGAACUGAUCCGCGAGGCUGCGUCUGCUGG